CGGCAGGCUCAGAGGGAGCGCCACCGGCAGCCCUCCCACAGCCGCACCGCCGCACCUACCACGGUCGGCCAUGGCAGUCUCCAGGCAGUCCAACGUCUGCUCAUCGUCACACAAGUCAUAGGGCAUGUUCCCGUCGCUGUUGACUGCCAGGAGAUUGGCGCCACUGCAGGGAAGAGGGACGCGGUGCUGGACACAGGGCCCUUCCCCACUUGCCAAGCUUCUCACUUGGAGAGGUCCCCCCCAGGGCCCCUCAGCCCAGGGCUGCCCCUCAGGAGGCACCCUGUCCACCUGCUGCUGGGAGAGGUGGCCUCGGGGCCCAUUGGCUGCCCCUCAGUCCUAGAUCCUGUGGUUCAGCCAGACAGGCCUCCUGCAGUCUCUACCCAUCCGGGCUCCAGGUUCCUGGCACCUCCAGGGGCAGUGGUGCCCCCAUAAACGUGCACUAGAUGGGUCUGCCUGCUGGGGGAGCAGGGACCCUGGGGACCCCAGGGAGCACAGGGCGGUGGGGUCGCAGGACCAGGCAGCCACGCUGAGGGGCCGCAGAGCUGUGGGGAGCAUAGCCCCGGGGAAGGAGGUCAGCAAAGGGGAGCCCAGGACACAGAAGGGGGUGUGCCUGUGUGCAGAGGAGGAACAGGCCUACCUGUGGACACCCCACAUCCCCGCCCACCCUGCAGCGCCUGAGUGUGAUGGGACCGCCAUCCACACCCCAUCUGGCCUCACGGGGGCACUCGAGACUGACUGCAGCCCUGACCUCUCUCCCACUACAGAUGCCUGGAGCGAAGGGGAAAGAAGGGAGGAGGCUCGUGGACGCUGGUGAGGCCACCACCCUCCCUCCUCAGAGCUCUUCCUGCUCUAUGUCCCUCUAUGUUAAAGGUCAUUUCGGGCAGCGGCCUCCAGAAGGACAACACUGGGAGGGAAGACGACCUGCUUCGGGGGCCCUCGGCCGGCUGCCUCCUUCCGGGGACGCUCCCCAGGACCUUUCUUGCCCUGGGCCUCCUUCUCAGCCUGGGCCCACAUCUUCACCUGCUGGGCACGCCGCUUCUGGGCAUGCUUCAGCCGCUCCUGCGUACUCAUCCUGCCCACCAUGGGCAUCUCUGCCAGCAGCUCCAGGCUCAGGAGCCUGGGUGGGGCCUGAGAGCAGCCAUGGCCCAGCCCCCCAACCCCUCCCAGCUGUGUGCCGAGGAAGAAAAGAUGUUCGGAUGCCCGUGUCCUGCAGAAGAGAAAGCCUGAGCACAGCAGCCGCACUCCCGAUGGAACGCCUGUCUGGUUCCUCGUUCCGAGCUCAUCCGUGAAAAUUCGUCAGAGAACAGCAUCUGGACAGUGCAAACCGCCCCCCAACACCCCCGGCUGCAGAGGGAGGCCCACAGGUGGGGAGGCUCUACCUCCCCCACCCCACCAAGCACGGCUCACAGGGCACUCGGCCCCCACCCUGGCAGGCCCACCUUCCUAGCUGGAAGCUGCCCGAUGUCUGCAUGGGACUCUGGGCAGGUUCCUGUCCUGCUCGAGGGCCCAGCUGCCUCCUCUAAGAGAAAAUGAGGUGCCCAAAGUGAGCCCAGAGCCCCCCAAGAGUGGGUGCCAGGGGGCGUCCCAGUGCCCACUUCCCCCCAGGCUGAGCCCUAAGUGUCCCCCUCUGGCCUCCCUGCCCAGGAACCAGCCUCAGAAGGAAGGGGCUGGCUGAAGGCCCACGGCAGCGGGCUGAGGGCUCCAGGAGGAAAGGCGGCCUCCCACCCACCUGAAUCUUGGCUGCCCUAGCCGAACUUCACCAAGCUUUGUCUACUCCUCCCAGCCACAGAUGGAUCAGGAACAGCCCACCAGAGCCGAGAAGACUUGCCCCUCAGCUGAGCCAUGAAGGCCUGGUGGCCGGCUCGUAGUCCUCCCAAACGGACACACCCAGGCUGAGGGGCUGGGCAGGGCGGCUCCCUCUCCUCCACAAACCUUCCCCCAAACCUCCCUGGAAUGUCAAACAGAUUCCCAGGUCGGUUCAUUCCAGUUCUAAACAGA